UACGUAGGUGGCAAGCGUUGUCCGGAAUUAUUGGGCGUAAAGCGCGCGCAGGCGGUCCUUUAAGUCUGAUGUGAAAGCCCACGGCUCAACCGUGGAGGGUCAUUGGAAACUGGGGGACUUGAGUGCAGAAGAGGAAAGCGGAAUUCCACGUGUAGCGGUGAAAUGCGUAGAGAUGUGGAGGAACACCAGUGGCGAAGGCGACACGCUGGGCCGUACCUGACACUGAUACGCGACAGCAUGGGGAGCGAACGGG
rnacentral:rRNA from 1 species